rnacentral:rRNA from 1 species
AACGAACGCUGGCGGCAUGCCUAACACAUGCAAGUCGAACGAGACCUUCGGGUCUAGUGGCGCACGGGUGCGUAACGCGUGGGAAUCUGCCCCUCGGUUCGGGAAUAACACAGAGAAAUUUGUGCUAAUACCGGAUAAUGGACUUCGGUCCAAAGAUUUAUCGCCGAGGGAUGAGCCCGCGUAAAGAUUAGCUUGUUGGUGGGGUAAUGGCCUACCAAGGCGACGAUCUUUAGCUGGUCUGAGAGGAGUGAUCAGCCACACUGGGACUGAGACACGGCCCAGACUCCUACGGGAGGCAGCAGUGGGGAAUAUUGGACAAU